rnacentral:misc_RNA from 1 species
GAAUAUAAUUCGAGGGGUUGUCGCUGGCCUCGCUCGCGCGAGGCAUGUGCACGCUUCUCGUUUUUCUCUCAACUCACCUGUGCACCUAAUGUAGGAUGCCUCUCCUCCGGGAGGGGGGACCUAUGUCUUCGUAACAUCUUCGUGUAGAAAGUCUUUGAAUGUUUACUAUCAUCGAGUCGCGACUUCUAGGAGACGCGAUUCUUUGAGAUAAAAGUUAUUACAACUUUCAGCAACGGAUCUCUUGGCUCU